CACAGCUACUUGGAAGACUGAGGCAAGCGGAUGCUUGAGUUCAGGUAGUUGAGGUUGCUGUGAGCUACGAUGAUGCCACUGCAUUCUAGCCUAGGCAACAGAGGGAGACCCUGUCUAAAACAAGAACAGCAGUAGCAGACCCUGAAAAGGCAAACAAACAAAUCAAAUUUGUAUACCUGGUGAUCACUUCAUAUUACAAUGGUAGGAAGGGGUCAAUACAUAUGAGUGAAGAUUCCAGCCAGGAUAUGGAGAAAAAAGAUUUCCAAGGAAAGAGAUUUUCUUUGAAUGCCUUAAAGACCCCCAAAUCACCAGCAAAUGGGGAAAGUUACUCUUUUGGGGCAAUUACUACCAGUUGGGGUAUUCUAUAAGGUGAACAAGAAUGGGCAUUCAAGUGAGACCCAGAAGAGGCCCAAGUCCAUGGAAGGAUGGCUUUGACUCUCGCAAACAUUGCACAGACCUGUCUUCACAUCGGAGAUCUAAAACAGUGCAUGAAAGCAGAAACACAGACCCAGGUUGCUCCACUGUACUGAAAUUAUUUGGAAGAAUCAAGAAUGAGGAACACUGGCCUUGUUUGAUGAAGGUUACAGAAGUAAAAAGUAGUUACUUGAAAUAUAUUCAAAUAAGGACACUAGACUUCUUUACCUGGAAGAAUUACCCCCAAAAGAGAGAUCCUUUGGAUAUAGAACUAGCUGCUGCACUGAUGGGGCAAAACUGAAGAAAGGAAAGGGAAGCUAUUUGAAUUUAACCACAAGAGAAGCAUAAUUUGAUUUGUGCAUUGGAAAUUGGAGAUGAAAAAGGUGGAAGAAUUAAGUGCCUUUGGAAACUGAAUUCUUUCCAGGAUCUAGGCCAUUGCUUAACACUGUAUACCUCUGGAUAUGGGACAAGUUGGACAAGGUCUCAUCUCAGCUCAAAUUAGACUUCUGUGGAGAAGUGGUUCUCAGACUCAUCUCUCUAUCUGUAUUUUCUCUCAAAACAGCAUUUUUUUUCAUAGUCUUUAUCAUCAUUUGUUAAUUGUAUGAAAUAUAAUUUACUAGUGUGGUUGCAUUAACCUUUCCAAAUGUCUCCCCUCUUUCCUAGAUUACUAAAAGGAACCCAUAAUUUUAUAGGUUCCUCAAUCCUAGAUCAGCUCCUAGAUAUUUGUGAUGCAAAAUCUGAGAGAAAGUGGUGAAUUCUGCAGGAGGUUAAAACAAUCUACAUAAUAAGGAAGUGAGAGAGAGGGCAGAGAGUAAGGACAGGUUGUAAAAACCAAAAGGAAUGAAGGUACAGAGAAUUUGCUAUAAAGUGAGUGGAUAACUGCCACUAAACAUACAUACCCAUGUAUACCUAUAUUUAUAUGUUAAUGUUAUUUAUUAGAGAAAUGACCAAUGCUUCAAAAAUGUAUUUUA